rnacentral:lncRNA from 1 species
GGAACUUCUAGUCUUACUUCUGACCUCCAAUCCCUGGGAGAGGGGCUGGAGAUUGAGUUCAAUCACUAAUGGCUGAAGACUGAAUCAAUCACGUCUGUGUAAUGAAGCCACCACUAAACUGCAAAGGGAUAGGGUUUGGAGAACUUUCAGGACCCGGCUAUUAGAAAAGAGGUUCAAUGUGAAUAUACUGACAAUAACAACAAAAAAAGAGAUUAGAGAAUUAAGAAAGAAAAUUCUAGAGGGCUUAAAGAUCACAUCUGGAAGGAUCUGAAAGGCCUCUUGAAGGAAAUAGAAAAAAAAAUUCUGGCUAAUUCCUCUAAUACUUCUGGACCCUCAUUGGCUAGGAAAUAAACUACAAUAGCAAACAAAGCAUAGUGGCUUCAUCAAAUAGUUUAGAGUCUAAAAUAGAAGAGAGAGACAAAUAAACAAACAAUUACAAUAAGGAAUUACAAGUAGAGAGCAUGCUGUGUUCCCAUAUCUAUUUUCUGGUUCCGUGGAAGCUUCUUGAGUACAUGUCUAAUUUGGUUGGGUUCCCCCACUCUCGUACAGCUUCUCAUACAGGAUAGCAAAACUGCGCUCCUAGAUGCGAUUAUAUGUAAAAAUGGACAAAUCUACAUCACAUUUUUAGUAGAUAGUCCAGAACUGGAGUUCAAGAGAGACAGAACACAGAAUGCCAGGUUGAGGGAGAACCGUGUGGACUCCAAGACCAGCACAUUUCAAGACUAAUAGUAGUAAACAGUGCUUACUGAGAGUAUCAUGUCUCAAGUAGUGCGUGGCUUCAAACAGUUAGAAAUUAAAUUAAAUUAAAACAUUUUUUUUUCAACUUUGACAUAUUCAUGGAAUUAAGAUCAGAGGAAUAAGGAAUAAAGUGCUAAAUUUAAAAGCAAACCACUUUAGUUGCACCCAUUUAUAAUGUUGAUUUUCAGGAUGUCAUAAAUAUUACAUUACAAGAUAACAAAUUGUGUGAGCUUUUACGUAAUGCUUUUUUAUGCCCUUGGUGUACUCAUUUCUGGUGCAUAGUUAUUUUCAAUCAAGAUCAAUUUUUGAGUUUCAGAGCAACAGUAAAAUAAUUCCAUUUAGUACUUCCAGUUAAUGUAUAAUUCCACAUAGUACAUCCAAAACUUAACUUAUUGUCUUUACCCCAAAACCAACUCCAUAAAAAACAACUCAGAACUACUUGUUUAAUUGAGUGGAUUGAUUUGAGAUGAUCUAUGGAAUAACAAACUGGAUUAAACCUAUAAAUAUAUCAUCAGAGGCAAUUUUGACAUAACUACAAACUAUGCAUUAUAUCUUUAUGUUUCAUACAUCUGGCAGUAACCUAAGCAAACUAGCCAAGGUAAAGCUGGAAGAUUGUAAAUAAACAAGUAUAUAUAUAUAUAAGAACAUG